rnacentral:snoRNA from 1 species
AAGACUAUACUUUCAGGGAUCAUUUCUAUAGUUCGUUACUAGAGAAGUUUCUCUGAACGUGUAGAGCACCGAAAACCACGAGGAAGAGACGUAGCGUUUUCUCCUGAGCGUGAAGCCGGCUUUUGGUGUCGCUUCGCUGCGACUGCCGUCAGCCAUUGAUGAUCGUUCUUCUCUUCUUAUUGGAGAGUGAGAGGGAGAGAACGCGGUCUGAGUGGUUUUUCUUUCUUGACGGUUCAAUAGCAGGCAACAGGGUGUGUAAAUCUCGGAUGCUUUCUGCUGAGGUUUCUUUGCUACGGCUGGCGGGCUGGCGUGUCCCCAAGAAACUUUUUCGCUUUCCGCACUGUCAGCGGUGGCUCUUGUCUUUUUUUCGUUCGGGGUGUUUCCCAAAUUUUAGUCUUGGCGUGGGGAGGUCGUGUGUACGUCCUGUUGUCUCUUUUUGCACUUCGCAUUCUGUGCUUUUCGCGCGUCUUUCGUCGUCGUUUCCCGCCCGCCACCCCUACCCCCAGGCGGGGUCUCGGGAUCAUUUGUCUGCCUGGCUCCCAGGAGCCUGGAGUGCGAUGGCGCGAUCUUGAGGCUCAUAGCAACAUCUGCCUCCCGGGCUCAAGCGAGUCUCUGCCUAAGCCCCUCCCGAGUGGCCGGGCUACGCACGCCACGCCCGGCUGCUUUUUUUUGUUGUUGUUUGUUUUAAUUGUUUGUAGAAACGGGUGUCACCAUGUAGCCAGGUUGGUCUCGAACUCCUGAUCUCAGGUGAUCCGCCCGCCUCGGCCUCC